CCUCCAGGCACCGCUGUUGGCCUCCCCGGGGCCUGGAGGUGGCCUGCCCUGGUGCCUGUGGGCCACUGGGGCAAAGCCACAGAGCCUGGUGGCCGGCAGACCUGCACAGGAUGCUGCCCCAGAAGGUGGGGCUCCAGGCCAGGUGGAAGCAUCCACGUGUUCCACCAUCAGCAGUCAGGGGGCUUCCACCGCAGCUGCCCUCCAGGCGCUGAGGCGAGACUGCGCAGGCUGGCGGCACGAACAGACGGUGCACGUGGACAGCGGAAGCAGCAGGGCGUGUACGGGACCCGGGGGUGGCAGGGACUGUGUUUCAGAUGACUUGCCUUUAUACCAACUGGUCUCGAUAUAGAACUCAGAUCACACAGUCAUUCCCCAAGGUCCUUGGAGGCAUCAGGUGAUGCCUGGGGAACCGGCCGCAGUGCCUCUCACCGAGAGAUGUGACCCAGCCCCAGCCCCCGAGUCCUCGUGCAGGAAAGCGGAGUCCUCUGUCCUCUGGUCACACCGAUGCCAUCUGCAGUCCAGACCAUAAGCCAGAGAGCUGCGGGAGUACAGCUGGAAUGCAGACAUGAUAGAUGGAGCAUGGGCAGCUGCAUUGGACCAUGAGGGAGUACAACAGCAAGAUAGGAAAAAGGCUGGUUCCUGAUGGUCAUGGAACUUCCCUACCAGCCUUGGAAAGGUCACCUCAGGACUGUAUUUGUAUGAGAGAAAUGCACGGAAACCUCUGUGACUUGGGGAUUUCAGAUGUUGCCAUAAACCUAAUACUGGCUGAAACACAUUACUUGGAGGAAGCAGAAGGUGACUAUAACAGUAAGCGCAGUGGAAAAUAAUAUUCUAAAACUGUUGAUAGAUUCAGCCACCCUUCAAGUCUAUGAACCCAGGAGCUGCUCUUGUUUUAAAAAAAAGAAUAAAAAAAAGGAAUUAGUCAUCAUGACUUGAAACUGACUCUCAGCUGGUUCAGGACUGCUGGUUAACUGGAAGGGGGACGUCUUUGUCACCUUGUGACUUACGCCGUUCAGCUCCAGGUCCUUCCCUCACUGCUGCCUGAACUCAUCCCACUGGACACCACCUG
ensembl:lncRNA